UACGGAGGGUGCAAGCGUUAUCCGGAUUCACUGGGUUUAAAGGGUGCGUAGGUGGGCAGGUAAGUCAGUGGUGAAAUCUCCGGGCUUAACCCGGAAACUGCCGUUGAUACUAUCUGUCUUGAAUCUUGUUGAGGUAGGCGGAACGGGUCAUGUAGCGGUGAAAUGCAUAGAUAUGACCGGAACACCGAUUGCGAAGGCAGCCUACUAAGCAAGUAUUGACGCUGAGGCACGAAAGCGUGGGGAUCAAACAGG
rnacentral:rRNA from 1 species